UGGGCUGUAGCUCAGUGGUAGAGCACUUGCCUAGCAUGCACAAGGCCCUGGAUUCCAUCCCUAGCACCUCUA
rnacentral:tRNA from 1 species